GCAGAGACCACUGUGGAGAGAAGAGAGCAGCAGAACAAGACAAAAAGAGGAAUAGACGGACUGUGCCAAUCAUUGAAUCAGGAUGCUUGUUCUCAUCUGGGCAACUCUACUCUUCUCUGUGACAGACACAGCAGGUGCACCAGAGGGAAAAAACACAGAGGGUGGACCCAAGAGCACUACAGAGAGCUGUGAGUAAAACAUACCCUACAUACCAUACCAUACUUUAUUGUCACUUCAUCCAAAAUGUUUGUGAAGAGACCUUGUGUAAUAUAUGAUGAU